AGUAGCUCUGUGGAAAAUGGCUGUGUGGAGAUUGACUGUGUGGAGACUGGCUGUGUGGAGACUGCCUGUGUGGAGACUGACUGUGGAGACUGUGUGGAGACUGACUGUGUGGAGACUGGCUGUGUGGGGACUGACUGUGUGGAGACAGAUUGUGUGGAGACUGAGUGUAUGGAGACUGUGUGGAGACUGUCUGUGUGGAGACUGGCUGUGUGGGGACUGACUGCGUGGAGACAGAUUGUGUGGAGACUGAGUGUGUGGAGACUGGCUGUGUGGGGACUGACUGUGUGGAGACUGACAGUACAGAGUGGAGUGACUUACUUUGCCUGAUUGAUCCUCUCUGACUCGUUCCUGUACUGUCGUUCUAACUGUAGGCUGAAAAAGCAAAAACAAAUUCAUACUACAGCUCUAUAUGUACAAACUCACAAGUUCAUAUCUAAUUUGUACGAAGGAAAUGAUGAAAACGUUCCCUUAGAUCUUCAAAUUUGUUAUUUUUCUUAUGAAUUAACAGUGUAGCAAAGCUAGCUGAGAUCUGUAAGACAGAAAACUUUCUUUCAAGCAGAGUAAAAUCAGUCAAGCACCUGGAGAAUAGUGCAAAAGCUUUACCGCAUGAAGUAAAGGCUGGUUUACAUAGUACAGGCCAGUUUAUAUGGUAAAAGUCAGCUUACACAGUUGAAGCCAAUUUACACGGUAAAGGCCAGUUUAUAGGAUAAAAGUUGAUAAGUUUACAUGUUAAAGGCCAAUUUAUAAGGUAAAAGUUGGUUUACAAUAUAAAGGCUGGUUUAUAGGGUAAAAGUUGGUAACUUUACAAGGUAAAGAUCGACCGGUUUAUAGGGUAAAAGUUGGUAACUUUACAUGGUAAAGAUUGACCGGUUUAUCGGGUAAAAGUUGGUAACUUACAUGGUAAAGACCAGUUUAUAUGGUAAAAAUUGGUGUAAACGGUAAAGGCCAAUUUAUAAGCUAAAAGUUGGUAACUUUACACAGUAAAGUCCAGUUUAUAAGGUAAAAGUUGGUAAAUUUACAUGGUAACGGCCGGUUUAUAUGGUAAUUUAAAAGUUCGUAAAUAUACAGUCACGGUAAAGGUAAAAGUUGGUUUAAACGGUAAAGGCCGGUUUAUCGGGUAAAAGUUGGUUUACAUGGUAGAGGCCGGUUUAUCAGGUAAAAGUUGGUUUACACGGUAGAGGCCGGUUUAUCAGGUAAAAGUUGGUUUACACGGUAAAGGCCGGUUUAUCAGGUAAAGGCUGGUUUACAUGGUAAAGGCCGGUUUAUCAGGUAAAGGCUGGUUUACACAGUAAAGCAAGCUGUAGAGACCUCGCUGUAUACAGCAAAAUAUAACCCUGUGUACAGUGCUAUUGCAGAUAUCAUAAACCUUCCCACAUUUGUAUAUUUCACCUGUUCAAAUACAGUGUGUUCCUAUUCUCUACAGCAAGUCACAUGAAUAUUUUAUCCCUGGAAUUUGGCUUUAUUUGGGCUUUAAUGAUUUCUUUCAAAACACUGUAAAAUGUUGAAUAUAUUUCAAAUAAUUCUCAAAAGAGCGUUUUUAUAUUCCCAUAACAAGAAACGGAAAUAUCAGUCUCAUCAACCUCAUAUACAGGUGAAAAAUAUGUUACAAAACAUUAUACAAAACGAGGUUAGUACAGCUUGCUUUACACGUAAACUGGCCUUAACAUUCAGCAAAUCAUCUGCUGAAUAGUAUCAAUGCUUCACAUACCUGGUAAAAAGCAAUUAAUUGCUUUCAUUAUAUAUACAAAGCACUCUUAAAAAACUAUCAACAAAUAAUCUGCAAGUCAAGUUAAAAUUACCAUCUUGGUGAAAUUCUAAGUUUAACUAAAUUGUGGGUGGGAUUUUAUUGAGUGACUACAGUCAAAAUGAAUAUUUCAGGGUGUCGAGCCAUUUUUGGUCUAAAAAAUAUAGGAUUAUUGGACUUUUUUUUUGCAGUUUAUAGGGCAAAUAUAGGGAUUUUUACAGCAGAUUUAUAAGAAUAACAAGAGGAUUUUUAUUAAAGACUUUGUAUAAAGUUUAUUGUUUCUGCAUAAAAAUCUGGCAAGCAUAGUAUCUUACUGGAGAAAAAAUAAUAUCAAACAUAAACAAAGACAAAAUCCUUUCAGAUGUGAACAGUUUUCCAUCCAAUAGACAGUUCUUAUACAAUCAUCAUAGUUAUUCUUUUCAUAACAAUCUAAUUAAAUAUCAAUCAAGCAUCAGCUCCUGGAUUUUUUCUUCUUUUUUAUCAUUUUUGAAAAUAGGACUGUCAUUUUUUUUUUUUAAUAUAUACAUGUAUAGGGCUUUAUAGGGAUUUUAAUGACUUAAAGGGAAAGUACAGGAACCUUCAAGUUUAUAGGAAAAUAUAGGAAUACAUAGAAACUUGACACCCUGAUAUUUAAAUUAAACUUGACUGGUGCAUACUAACUCAACUGUGCUGUACUUACAAGAACAAGGGAAAUUCUUGAGCAUCUACAUACGUAAAAUGCAACUGAACCUGAAUUUGGACACUGUAUUUUGACACAGUAAAUGUUUUUCUGACAUAAAAAUUCAUUCUACAAAUUGAAUUUGUAUUAAUUACUAUACAAGGUUAUGUUUCUACAAAAUGGAAUAUUCCUAUCAUUUACAAAAGCUGCAGUAUCGUAGAUCUGACUAAAAUGAAGAAGCUGCAAGAUCCAAUUAAUGUAAUUAGUUGCUCAUGCUUGACAAGCAUGCAGAAUGGACAUACUACAUCUAAAACAUAAAACAUCCACAGUUAAUGGCCACACAGCAUGCCAAAUCUUUGCUACAGGAACUAAAUUGACUCAAACCCAAAUAAGUAAAAGACAAAAUUGUCCCCAAAAGAGUUAAAGCAAAACAUGUCAGAGGGAACAUCAAAUACUCACCAUAUCUCGGGAGAGGCAUAGCUAAAAGAGAAAGUGCAAAAAACACAUGCUUACAACCUUUUUAGUGCAGGCAAGAUGCGUGUCAAGGGUUAAGGCAUGUCCCAGGUUAACUUCACUUCGCUCAGAUCAGCAUCAUGUCGCAUGACCAGGAAAAAAAAAUCAAUGACUUACACACAAACCAUUCAACCGAGGAUAUUAUUUUACAGCCACUGAGCUGCAUGUAAGAAAACCAAAGAAAUUCCAAAGUAAUUUGACAUGAAAAGUUAACGUCAAUAUUUUCAAAUCAUGGAAGUACGGAAGGAAGGUUUUGCAAAAUUAAAGUUUAAUUAAAACCAAUAAACCCACAUUAUUUGUUUUCAAUAUAUGUAAGGAAUAAGCAAAGAUAUUUUGCAAAACAAAUGACUUAUUUGGAAAUUUAAAAUUGAAAUCUAAUUAACACACAUUUUUUUUAAAAAACUAACUGCUGGUACAGACCCACCUAACGAGACCUAUCACUCUAGCACAUCGUAUAAUGCCGGUUGAUUAAUGUGACAAUAGCAAACAUUCACUAGGUGACGGUCACUCCUCCCUCACCCACACACCUCGACCUACUUACUUUGGGCCGUACAGUGGGUGGAAGGGCCUUCUGUUGUAGUAGGAGUAGGGGUCACUCUCCUCCACAUCCAAACUCUCCAGACUCCCCUCAUGUGAUAGUUCAUCCCGGGAACUGUUAAGACUCUGUCAAUGGAAAAUAGGCCUGUCAAACUUCUCAUAUAUACAAGUAAUAUCAAAACUAGUAUAGGAUUAUCCACAUGACCAGUAUCACAUUUGUAUUUUGAUGGUAUAAUGUUGCACAUUUAACAAUGACAGGGACAGAAUUUGAAACAAAUAACCUUUCCGGUGACAUUGAAAUUUAUGCAGUAAUGCACAUUCAUUGAUUUUAAGUCCACUUGUAAACAAAGUGGUGCAAUCAUAUACCAAGAUUUGUACCUGUCGCCUUUCCCGUAACUUGGCAGCCUCAGCAGGGUUAUUGAAGCGAAACAUGUUUGUUUUUCCCAGCAA